rnacentral:rRNA from 1 species
UGGAUCCAGACUUUGAUUCUGGCUCAGGAUGAACGCUGGCGGCAUGCCUAAGACAUGCAAGUCGUACGAGGUGGCCCACUGACAUAUAUUGAAACUCUGAGAGCUUGCUUAAAGAGUGGAUUUAUAUCGACGUGGAAUUUCCACCUAGUGGCAAACGGGUGAGUAACACGUGGGUUACCUACCUCUUAGAUGGGGAUACCAAUUGGAAACGAUUGUUAAUACCGAAUGUGAUCUACGGAUUAAAGAAGCCUUUAAAGCUUCGCUAAGAGAUGGGCCUGCGGUGCAUUAGAUAGUUGGUGGGGUAAUGGCCUACCAAGUCAACGAUGCAUAGCUGAACUGAGAGGUUGAUCGGCCACACUGGGACUGAGACACGGCCCAGACUCCUACGGGAGACAGCAGUUAGGAAUAUUCGUCAAUGGGGGCAACCCUGAACGAGCAAUGCCGCGUGAACGAUGACGGUCCUCUGGAUUGUAAAGUUCUGUUGUUUGGAAAGAAUUGUACUGAUAGGAAAUGAUCAGUGCUUGACGGUACCAUUCAAGAAAGCCACGGCUGACUACGUGCCAGCAGCCGCGGUAAUACGUAGGUGGCGAGCGUUAUCCGGAUUUAUUGGGCGUAAAGCGUCCGCAGCCGGUUUAUUAAGUAUAGAAUUAAAUUUCUGGGCUUAACCCAGUCUCGUUCUAUAAACUGAUAGGCUAGAGUGUGGUAGAGGCAAGUGGAAUUUCUAGUGUAGCGGUUAAAUGCGUAGAUAUUAGAAGGAACACCAGUGGCGAAGACGGCUUGCUGGGCCACCACUGACGGUCAGGGACGAAAGCGUGGGGAGCAAAUAGGAUUAGAUACCCUAGUAGUCCACGCUGUAAACGAUGAGUACUAAGUGUCGGGCAACCGGUGCUGAAGUUAACACAUUAAGUACUCCGCCUGAGUAGUACGGUCGCAAGGCUGCAACUCAAAUGAAUUGACGGA